GCAAAACCCCUCUUUGUUCCUAUCCCAUUUAUUCCCAGCUCCGAUUCAAACUCUUAACUUAUCAAAGGCGGUCAGCGAUCGGCGACUGGAUUCCGAGCAGUCACGCAAGCGUAUGAUCGAUCGCUGUAUGCUUGCGGGAAAAUAUGGUGAAGUUGACUUUGAUUGCUCGCGUGACUGAUGGCCUUCCUUUAGCCGAGGGGCUGGAUGAUGGUCGUGAUGUUCAAAAUGCAGAUUUCUACAAACAGCAGGUCAAGGCCUUAUUCAAGAACCUGUCGAUGCGCCAAAAUGACGCUUCAAGGAUGUCUAUUGAAACUGGACCUUACGUCUUCCAUUAUAUCAUUGAAGGGCAUGUUUGUUAUCUGACAAUGUGUGAUCGCUCUUAUCCCAAGAAACUUGCCUUUCAAUACCUGGAAGACCUUAAGAAUGAGUUUGAGCAUGUCAAUGGGAGUCAAAUUGAAACUGCUGCUAGACCAUAUGCUUUUAUUAAAUUUGAUACAUUCAUACAGAAGACGAAGAAACUGUACCAGGAUACCAGAACUCAACGCAAUGUUGCAAAGUUGAAUGAUGAACUUUAUGAAGUUCAUCAGAUAAUGACUCGAAAUGUACAAGAAGUUCUUGGUGUUGGUGAAAAAUUGGACCAGGUCAGUCAGAUGUCCAGCCGCUUGACAUCAGAAUCCCGCAUAUAUGCUGAUAAGGCAAGAGAUUUGAAUCGUCAGGCUCUGAUACGGAAGUGGGCUCCUGUUGCUAUUGUCAUUGGAGUUGUUAGUCUUCUCUUCUGGGCUAAAAGCAAGAUUUGGUGAUGCUGCCAUCAAAUGUACAGCUUAGAAAUGAUGUUACUCUAGCAUCGGUCAGUGGGCAACUGACAAGACCACAGUGGCCUUAGUUUUCUGAGGAUGGGGAGAUUGAAGAAAUGUCAGUUUGAUAAUGUAGAACAGGGGAUGUGAACCAUGACGACCGAAUGUUGCUAAUACUUGAGAAAUGAUAUUUAAUAUGAAUCCCAGCAUGUACUUUUCUUGAUAAUCAACCACAAAACUUGCCUUCCGAUAGGUAUUUGUAAUUCUGAAAUGCUGUUUUAGCUACUUUAGUAUAUGUUUGUAAAUUACAGUGG
rnacentral:misc_RNA from 1 species